UUCAGAUAAAAUGCCGAAAAUGAAAGGAUUUUCAGAGCACACACCUCUAUUCAAAUUUUUAGACCGAAGACGAUCUGGUAUCCGACCAUAUCCUGGGGAAUCAAAUCUUUUUAAUUCAAAACUGGCACAAGGACUUCUCAACAAACAAACAGAUAUAUCAGUUCCAUACUUCCAGAACUCCACUACCCCAUCCUAUAGAUCUGAGAGAAUACAUAAAGGAAGAGUUAUUAUGCAAGAAACAGCCAUACACUCAACAGGAGGAAUAUUCAACCUUGAGUUUAGUCCGGAUGGACGGAUCCUAUCCGCAGCGUGUGAACGGAAAAACAUUCUAAUAUUUGACCCGCUCACGAGGCAGGUUGUGAAGAGUAUAGAGAACGCACACCAGGAUUGUGUAAAUUGCGUCAGAUUUCUAGACACACGAACCUUUGCCAGUUGUUCAGACGACUACACGGUAGCGCUGUGGGAUGUUCGAAAUUUAAAAACUCGGGUUCGAACCCUGCAAGGACACACAAACUGGGUCAAGAACAUCGAAUAUUCGCAGCACGAUAACGCUCUCGUCACAUCAGGGUUUGAUGGUGCGAUUUAUACAUGGGACUUCAAUAAAUACUCAGAAACCAAUCCAGAAUUUAAUAAGGUGUUCUAUACUGCUGGGCUGAUGAGGAUGAGAUUAACCCCAGCUGCUGAUAAAAUGGUGAUAUCUCACAUGAAGGGAUAUCUGCUUGUAGUUCAUGAUCUCAAUCUUCAAACUCUCCGUCAGGAUUUAGAAGGAUUUAAACCAAAUUUGUACCGAAUGAUGCAGUUGUCAGGACAACCUCGAGAACUAGCCUGUAUUUACACAAGACUGUUCCACGCUAAACGGAAUCGUAUUGAGCUGAUAUCUGAUUUCCCAGACCUAAACGAUGCAGAUACUAUUUCAAGUUUAAGAAUUCACCCUCAAGGUUGGGUUGCUGUAUCGAGAAAUACGUCGGCAGAUGAAAACUCAGAAUGGUGUUGCGUACAUGAUAUACAGUCUAUAGAUACCAGGGAGGAAGAUGAUGAACUAGUUAAACCAAUAACCUGGAGACGAGCUCCAGCUCCUGUUCUUCCCGUUCUAGACAGUAUUGAUGAUGUUGGCGGAGAAGUUCAACGGUUUAGAAGUGGGAGAAUAGAAAUAAUAUCAACAGGAGCUAGAACAAGUCAGGGAGAGGAUGGGAAUGCUGUGAUACACAUAGAUCUCAGGGUUAGAAGACGACAACGAGAUAAUCCGGAUGAGGAUGAUGAUGAGGCUGAGGGUCGUGAUGUUGAUGUAGAGAAUGAGGAUGGAGGAUCUGAAGAAACCAAUGUAGAUGGAACGAACUUUAUUGCAGCAGAAAGUAUGGCAGCCCUGGAUCUAUUAGGUGAGUUGACGAGGCAUCGCCGUGAUACAGAUGCAUUAAACCAAGAUGGCGGAGCUGGGGAUAGACGCCAGAGACAUGACACCCAAGCUGACCAGCCGGUUAGAAACAUGCUCGACGCGCUCAGGAAUAUUGGAGGAGCAGCCGGGGCGAGUGACCGGCAGGACUGGUUGGAUGUUAUUGAACCUGUAGCUGAGGAGGAGAUAGAAGUAGAGGAUAAUAGAAUGAUAAGGAAUGAUAGACGAGGAAUUGUGAUAAUAGGAGCAAACGGUCCACGUCGGGUUUUAUAUUUUGGAUCUCCGGCUGCCCGGCGAGCACUGGACAAUAAGAUACCGGCAGAUGCUAAAAUUCAUCAAAACAUGUCUCGACUCACUCAUUACAUUGAAGAAUCUAAUACAGGUCGAGGGUUUAUUAAAGAACAGUGCUUCAGCCCUUGCGGUAGAUUUAUUGUUUCUCCGUUCGGAUUUGGAUACCGGUUGUUGGGUUGGAAUGAGCACUGCAGUGAUCUAUCCGACUGUGUUCCUGAGUCUCCAGUAGCCCUGUACGAUCUAGGAAUUAAAUCUAGUCAUACUGAGGAUGUGUUGUCAAGUGCUUUUAGUCCUACCCAUUGGUUACUGGCCACAGGAUGUAAGGCUGGACGAAUAUCCUGGCAUCAACCUUUCCUCUCAUAACCUUUCACAACUUUCCAAAUACAAAACAGAAAAGUUGCCGAAAUAUUAAUGAAAGUAGCAAUAUUGUUUCUGAGAGUAGCAUUUCAUUCAAGAGAAGCAGUAUUGUUAUUGGAAGUAGCAGUUGCCGCUUCAGCUUGAAGUAGCUUCUAGAAAAUCAGUGCUCUAAAUACUGCUGUUUAAACUUUUAAAGUAGCAGAAACUGCAUCUAAAGUAGGAGUUCUGUUGUUUAAAGUAUAAGUUCUGUUGCUUGAAUUAGCAGUUUGCUUUAAAAGUAGCAGUUUAACCAUUGGAAAAAGCAUUUUCUUCUUCAAGAGCAGGAGGAUAGUUAACGGAAUUGGCAAUUAUUGCUUCAAAAGUAGCAAUUCUGUUUUUGGAAAACGAAAGGGGUCCAAACUUCCCCGCAAUGUUCAAGGCUAAACUGUGAUAUAAAUUAUUGUAUUUUUCCUCGAUUCUAAUUUUUUACUUCUAAUACUCUUAAAUAUUAGAAAACUUAUUUCGAUCAUUUAAAAAUUUAACCCUAAACAGUUUGACGAUGUUUCGAGUUAAUAAAAAAGUCUACUUUUGCUCAAAAACGCCUGGUUGAGUUAAAUUAAGGGAUUUCAUGUGUACCAAAGUACCAAAUUAUAAAUUCUGGAAGGUUUUUAAAAGACAACUCACAAGUAGCCAUUCAAUUUGCUCUCUGUUGGGGACUCAAUUAACAUCUUCUAUUUUUGAAAUAACGGUCGCUCAGAUUUUAGUAAAUUUUGUGAAUUAGUUCUAUGUUCCUGAACUCCCUGAACACAAUCUCAAAAUAAUACGUACCCCUUUAUUUAAGAAAUCCUAAAGCCUCGUAAUAAAAUGUUAUUUUAAUAAAUUUAUUUGUAAAAUGUCCAAAGUAAUGUUGUAAAUUUUGUUUAUUUUCAGAA
rnacentral:misc_RNA from 1 species